rnacentral:rRNA from 1 species
UACGUAGGGUGCAAGCGUUGAUCGGAAUUACUGGGCGUAAAGCGCGCGCAGGCGGCUUUGCAAGACAGAUGUGAAAUCCCCGGGCUUAACCUGGGAACUGCAUUUGUGACUGCAUGGCUGGAGUGCGGCAGAGGGGGAUGGAAUUCCGCGUGUAGCAGUGAAAUGCGUAGAUAUGCGGAGGAACACCGAUGGCGAAGGCAAUCCCCUGGGCCUGCACUGACGCUCAUGCACGAAAGCGUGGGGAGCAAACAGG